rnacentral:rRNA from 1 species
GUGGGGAAUUUUGGACAAUGGGCGCAAGCCUGAUCCAGCAAUGCCGCGUGCAGGAAGAAGGCCUUCGGGUUGUAAACUGCUUUUGUACGGAACGAAACGGUCCUGGUUAAUACCUGGGGCUAAUGACGGUACCGUAAGAAUAAGCACCGGCUAACUACGUGCCAGCAGCCGCGGUAAUACGUAGGGUGCAAGCGUUAAUCGGAAUUACUGGGCGUAAAGCGUGCGCAGGCGGUUUUGUAAGACAGGCGUGAAAUCCCCGGGCUCAACCUGGGAAUUGCGCUUGUGACUGCAAGGCUGGAGUGCGGCAGAGGGGGAUGGAAUUCCGCGUGUAGCAGUGAAAUGCGUAGAUAUGCGGAGGAACACCGAUGGCGAAGGCAAUCCCCUGGGCCUGCACUGACGCUCAUGCACGAAAGCGUGGGGAGCAAACAGGAUUAGAAACCCUAGUAGUCC